rnacentral:rRNA from 1 species
GGUCAUUAAACCCUCCCACCUAGAGGAAGGAGAAGUCGUAACAAGGUUUCCGUAGGUGAACCUGCGGAAGGAUCAUUG